CCGGGUGUAGCUCAGAUGGUAGAGCGCGUGGUUUGGGACCACGAGGCCGCUGGUUCGAAACCAGUCACUCGGA
rnacentral:tRNA from 1 species